GAAAAUCUCAUAUUGGAAGAAAUGCUUUAUGUCAGAAAUCUGACAUUCUAUCUUUAUUUUAUGUACAGAUUGAUCCACUGAAUAAAUCAAACUAUCUGAUAGCCUCUCAAUCGCUAAUGGAUUUAGCUUCCAAAUACUCUUGAAGGUUAGGUAAAUACUAAAUAUCUUCAGUUUCAAAGGGGAAAGAGAGGUAAGGAGAGAUUAGUAGUUUAAAUUUCCAUGGUAUUAAGCAGCCACUUUUAAAAGAUGUAGUCAAUAGAAAGAACAGCUCUCAGCACUUCUGAAAAUUGAGUGAUAAUGGUCUUAAUUAAGUCACCAAGUAAGUCAGUAUCAGAGCUAUGCAUACAGCUGAGGUUCUGUGACUGACUGACUGUAAACAUAAAACUUUCUUCUUUUAGUCAGCAAUCAGAAAUGAGGAUUGCUUACAACAAUUUUAAUGCUUAUGACAUCAGAUUAAAUACAGUAUAAGAUUAUCUGCAGGGUUUUUUUUUUUUGUUGGGUUUGUUUUUUUUUGGGUUUUUUUGGUUGUUUUUUUUUUAGGACAAUCUGUGAUUUAAGUCAAUUGGCUGGUUUAUGGAGCACUAAAUGGCAGAGAGCAGCUGUCUUGUCCUACCCCAGGGAGCUAAGAGAUCUUGGAAAAGUCCAGGGAAGUUAAAUGAAGGCACAUAUCUCAGAUGACCGGAGAGAGUAUCUGGAAAUUCCAGACUCCUGGUUCAGAUGUACAAACUGGAAGGCACAAACAGAGGCAGCUGUCCCCACACAUGGCCAAAAAAUGUGUGACUGCAUCUCGCUUUGAUGAAUGUAUGAAUGAGAAGUACACCUGUUCAAUGAAAAUGGAGAUGAUCUUUGGUUUGUGAAAGAAGGGUAAGAAUUAUGCUGUCAUCUCUGAAUAUUCUCCUUUGCUUUUCCUACAACAUACACCAGAAAACACCAAACCAAACUAAACAAUUCCACACAACCCCCCAC
rnacentral:lncRNA from 1 species